rnacentral:rRNA from 1 species
CCCUUAGAUGUUCUGGACCGCACGCGCGCUACACUGAUGCAUUCAACGAGUGUACCUUGGCCGAGAGGCCUGGGCAAUCUUUUGAACGUGCAUCGUGAUAGGGAUAGAUUAUUGCAAUUAUUAAUCUUGAACGAGGAAUUCCUAGUAAACGCAGUUCAUCAAACUGCAUUGAUUACGUCCCUGCCCUUUGUACACACCGCCCGUCGCACCUACCGAUUGGAUGGUCCGGUGAAGCCUCGGGAUUGUGGCGGUUGCCUUUAUUGGUGGCCGCCGCGAGAACUUGUCUAAACCUUAUCAUCUAGAGGAAGGUGAAGUCGUAACA